rnacentral:lncRNA from 1 species
UUCUAUAAAAAGGAGCGUGUAGAAAGAGAAGGAAAAAAGCAUAAAAAAACAAUGAUAAAAAGCAAAAAGUAUAGUAAGAGAGAGAAAAGUAAAAAGGAGAGCAUGUGAUCCCGUGCUAGUGAGCACAUUGUAGGCUACAUGUUCUCCUCUUGUUCACCAUUACAUCUGCUGACUGAUAUUGUUGACUACAGACUCAACCAACC